UACGAGGGGGGCGAGCGUUGUUCGGAAUUAUUGGGCGUAAAGGGUGCGUAGGCGGUUUGGUAAGUCUUAUGUGAAAUCUAUGGGCUCAACUCAUAGUCUGCAUGAGAAACUGCCGGGCUUGAGUGUGGGAGAGGUGAGUGGAAUUUCCGGUGUAGCGGUGAAAUGCGUAGAUAUUCGGAAGAACACCAGUGGCGAAGGCGACUUACUGGACACAUAUUGACGCUGAGGUGCGAAAGCGUGGGGAGCAAACAGG
rnacentral:rRNA from 1 species